AACACCACGAUCACAUGUGAUGCCGACCUCUGGAUGUCAGUCCAUGUUUCCUGGGGUCAUGUCAUGACUAGUGGGUAUGGCGGGGGAGCCCUCUCCGUCAGCACCUGGAAGCAAAACUUCGGCUUGCUUGGAGACUCCAGCUAUACAUUAGAACCGUGGUUCCCGACACCAGUGCCCGGACGACCAGCUCGUGGCACCCCUGAUAACCACUACAACAAGGCCCACACCGCCAUGCGCAAUGUUGUGGAGUGGUGCAUCGUUGUAAGCUUGUGCACAGCUGCUCAAGCAUCAUUGCUGCUUGUGCAGCUCUGCACGACAUUGCGUUGGCGGCACAUGAGCCUGUUCUCGAAGGAAACGAUGACACCGACGAUGCUGACUGCUGCCAGCAGCAGCUGAGCUACCACCACCACCACAACGGGAGCCAGCAGCAGCGCAACCGUGUAGUGAACCUGUUUCGAGAACUACAGGGCCUGCAUGCUUGAGCACCUGCGCAGAGUACGCCGCCGCCUGCAACGACCUCGGCAGCAUUGCGUGGUGCCUUCCGCUGCAAUGAGGGCCCGGGCGAGGGUACCAACGCCUUGCAAUUUGUGGACCGCGUCACCGAGAAGUUGAACCUGACGCAGCUUUCCAAUGAUGCCUGGCCCUGCCGCCUGGUGUUUGCGGCUAGUAACUCCAGCGCCUCGGCCUGCCUGUUGCCCCCAUCUCGCAGCUGCGGCAUGAGCUGGAAACCAAGAAAUGUGUUGCCAUUAUCAUCUAUAAAUUUCCUGCUACCGACUCUUCGCUGGAAGCUUCUGUUCGUGAAGAGUUUCAGUGUGUGCAACAAUUUCCUCUC